ensembl:lincRNA
AAACAGGGAAUUCCAGGCACCAAAAUAACGAGGUCGACGCCCCCAUCCGGACCCGAGGGGCAGUUUCCGGUUCGGUGUCCUGACCACCGUCCCUCCUGGCGUCGCGAGGGGAACGCCGCACAUCCAGACCCGAAGUGCGUGCUCCGAGCCCACGGAACCAAAGCGAGACGAGCAGCCCUCCCGGGCCCUGCGCCCCACUGCGGGGUCAUCCACGCCCGCGAGGCCGGACCCGAGAACCGCGCGGUGCCCUGCGCGCCCCUGGGGCGCAGCCACGGAGCACCUUGGCGCGCGGGCGGAAACCGCCACCCCGGGACCCCGGGGGCUCCCCACGUGUGGGCAGUGUCUCCCCUGCCCAGUCCGAGCUCCGGCUGCAGCGAUGGCGGCGACGGAGGCGGCGCGUCUGAGUCACCUGUGGGGCUUUUUACAACUCCACAGCCCCCUCCCCACACCCCGGUUCACUCGUCCGGAGGAAGAGGAAGGCAGUCUCCGUACACGCAGGGCGAGGUGGCCCGGCGGUGGAGUUUUCAAAAGCCCUACAGCUUCCCCUUACGUGCGCCACCCCACAAGCUUUGCCGAGGGCCCCGAAGUCUCGGAGCCCCGCGGGACAGUCAGACGUCAGGAGAAGUGUCCCCCGCGCUUCGCACCUCUUACGCUGCCUGCAGCGCGCACUGGACACCAAAGAGCCAAGGUCUGCUUUCUGCUCUGUGGCUGGGAGACGCUGCUGUGGAAUUCUUCACUGUAGUCCCAGGAGGGAAACCCUUGCAUGGGGAAGGCUGGGAAGAACCACAGGGAGGAAAAGGUUCUAAUUCCAUAAAUGACCAGAUGCUUCGAAGCCUGCCCAACCCACAGAACUUUUGAGACGAUACGGCCAUUUUUAGAAAUACUGGUCACUUCUCUAACUCCUGCCAACCGAUUUGGGGGGACAAAAUGUCACAGCAUGUAAGAAAUUAAGGGAGCCCCUAAGUGCUGGCACUUCUCUGACCUAUUUUUCCCCACUCGUUGCUGUGAGAGUUGUCUUCUGAAAAUAUAGACCCCAGAACCCUUCUUUUGUUCCAAAGCCCAUAGACCUUCAGAUUCCUCAUCUGUAAAAUGGGAAGAAUAAUGCAUAUGCGUAGGCUUUUGCCAACACUAGAAGAAAUAUUUAGAAACAUUCUAGCACCGUGCCUAUUGGUCAGUUUCCUGCUACACAUAUAGUGUUUGGAAUUCCUGCUUCAUAAUAAAGCAAAUGUUUCCUAAAAUGGCCCUGUGUGAAGUGGUCCCAGCCUGCUCAUCCGUUUACACUUCCAGGAAGUGAUUAACUUCAUUUUCGAAACAUACCAUGUCCACGUCCCUCUCUCUGUCCUGCUCAGGCUGGGAGAACUGCCUUUUAUCUCUCUCACGCUUUCUGUACUGCUGCCUCUGAUGUCCACCCAGGUGAAGGUCAUUAUUUUCUCUCCUAUACUUCCGAUGCAAUUUGUUUAUAAUCUAUUCUAAUACUUACACCGGGCUGCCAUGUAGCAUGGCUACUGUCGUAUGCUUUAUACCCACUGUGCUUUCCUGUCUGAGGGGCACUCAUCUGUCUUCCUUAGACUAUUCCUUAAUGGUUUUCCAAUCACCUUUCAAGAACUGCACAUAGUAGGGCAUCAACACUACCGAAGUGAACUUUAAAAAGGCAACUAAACAUCCUUGUUGACCCUGAGAGUUUACAAUAGAGGGAAGGUUUAUUCCCAUUUUCAAAUCUUGCAAAAAGAGCUGCCUGCCGCCGAACAGCUAUCAUGUUUGAGGCCCGUGCACACUU